GGGUGUUUAGCUCAGUUGGUUUAGAGCGCUACCUUGACAGGGUAGAGGUCACCGGUUCGAAUCCAGUAACACCCACAA
rnacentral:tRNA from 1 species